CCGUGUGUGGGUUGCUGAGUCACUGAAGACGGCGGCUCGGCCCCCAAAACGCCGUCAGCCCUGAAGUGGGGUUCGGGGCCCAGGCAUACGGGGUUUUAAAAGCUCUACAGUCUGGACGUCCAUUGGCUCUGGCACUGAAGGGCGUUCAGGAUUAAGUAAUUCUCGGAACCUCCCUUCUCCAGAGCCGCCUGGGCGCCCCAGGGAAGCCAUCUCGACUACCCGCCCCCGCCCCCGCGGGCCCUUCCCCUCCCAUCCCCUCCGCUCCUCUACACUCACGGGGACCCUGUCCGGAUAUUUCUUCCGGAUCUUUUCUCCUUCCUUUUUCCGAUACUCAAAGGGAUGGUCCUCCUUGUACUGGAACUUCAUGAUGCACCGCAGGGCUUCCGAGAUCCCCGCGCGGGGCCUGCCUCCUUCGCCGCUGACCCUGUCCCGCUCCCUCAGCCGACGUCAAGGUGUGCUCAGAAUAGCUGCAGAAACGUCCGCUCCGGGGGCAACAGCGCUGGGCCCCGCCCCCCAUGCGCCAGGCGCCCAGGGCAGGGGGUGGCCGAGCGCUCUGUCUCACUGCGUUUCCUUUCUGGCUAACCUUUUUCACAAUCGAUGUCACUGCAAACAUCAAAACAUUCGAGUUAUGUUUUAUUUUGUGACUGUGAAAUUAAAGAUGGUUUUAAGACAAAAAAAAGAUUUAAACAUGUUUUAUUCCCCCUCCACUGUUUUUCUUGGUUGGGC
rnacentral:lncRNA from 1 species